AAAGAUAGAAGAGAGAGAGAGAGAGAGAGAGAGAGAGAGAGAAAGAGAGAGAGAGGGGAGGGGACGUGCGAAAUGGGCAACACGAAGCCGCCCGUGGCGUCGAAGAGGAGAAAGAAGAAGAAGGGCCGUCCCUCUCUCUUGGAUCUCCAGCGCCGCAGCCUCCGUCUCCAGCGCCUCGAGCAGGGGGAAGAGGAUCAGCACCCCAGCCCUAACCCCGACGACGAUCCGCGCCGCCCCUCCUCCCGCCUCAAACCCGAUGCAGCCGCCGAGGCGGCGGCGGCCGCUGACGAUGACGAGGACGAGGACGGCGACGAUCACUCAGGUCGCAGAAGGCGGGAGAAGAAGCUCCGUCUCGUCCUCCGCCUCCCUAACAUCCCCUCCGCUGAUACUGCCGCCUCCGGCUCCGAAUCCGAUGGCCGCAGGGCGGGAAAGAUCGGCCCCGCUGGAUCGGAUGCCCAGACGGAAGGGCAGAAUCCUGCGUCGAAAGGGAUGGAUCUUCCACAAGAUUCUGGGCCCACUACACCAUUGCCGGACAAAAAGUUGCUGGUUUUCAUCCUCGACAGGCUGCAGAAGAAAGAUACUUAUGGCGUUUUUGCGGAGCCGGUUGAUCCCGAGGAGCUUCCAGAUUACCAUGAUAUUAUCAAGCAUCCGAUGGAUUUUGCGACCAUCAGGAAGAAGCUGUCAGGUGGAGCAUAUGCGAACCUGGAGCAAUUUGAGAAAGAUGUCAUCUUAAUAUGCUCAAAUGCAAUGCAAUACAAUGCACCAGAUACAAUAUACUACAGACAGGCCCGAUCCAUACAAGAGCUUGCAAAAAAGAACUUUGAGAAUUUAAGACAAGAAAGUGAUGAUAAUGAACCAGAACCAAAGCCAGUAAGGAGAGGUAGGCCGCCAUCUAAGAAUAUUCAAAAGAAGGUUGGUAGGCCUCCUGUUGACCGUGCUGGUUCCAACUUCUCUUCAAAUGCAACACAUUCUAAUGCCGGAGAUAGUAGUCACUGGACUAGCUUAUCACAUGAUUUGUCACGAAAAGGGUUAGACAAAACAAGUUCAUCCGAGUUACCAGCAAAGCCUUAUGGUCUUCGCAUUAUUGAAUCUCAUAGUUUGACUGGCGAUCACAAGUCUGAAAGAAAUGAGGAUAAUUCAGGUUCUGCAGUUAAGGGUUUCUCGAUGAAAUAUCCCAAGAAGUCCUUGGUCAUAGAUGAAAAUCGUCGUAUCACAUAUAGCCAUCCCCAGGUAUUCGGCUCCAUAAGUGAACCAUCAGUAUUAACAACAUUUGAGGGAGAGAGAAAGCAACUUAUUCCUGUUGGCCUUUACAUGGAGCACGCAUAUGCCAGGAGCUUGGCUCGUUUUGCUGCAAACCUUGGUCCCAUUGGCUGGGAAAUUGCUGCUAAAAGAAUUGAAAGUGUCCUUCCUCCCGGGACAAAAUUUGGCCGUGGAUGGGUUGGAGAUAAUGAAGUACCACAACAGUCUCAGCCGCCCUUACUAACUAGAUCUCCUUCCCGUGUUUCUCAACCAGAAAGCACCCCAACAACUAGCGCAUUAGCAUCUGAACAUUCCCGGAGUGGCAUGUUGACUGAAGUCUGUGCAAACACUACACCAGCUACAUCAUCUCCUCUCUCAAGUAGAGUUUUAGAUUCAGGGGAGGUCAUCGCCAGAAACCAUGAAAGUGCUUUCAAACCACAGAGUGCUGUUGGCGGACAGGGUAAUUGGCAAAAGAUUCCAUUCCAUCUUAACCAAGCUGCUCCAGCUAUGCAACCCACCUUGAAUGGUUUUAAUAACCCAUUGGGGUUUAAUCAUCCCUCUCAAGUUGGCAAAAGUGUUAUUACAUGUGCCUCGCCAGAGAGCUUUAGUUCAGAGGCAAUGAGAACACAUUCUCGAGCGCGUGACAUGGUUGCAAGAAACAGUAGUCAAACGACCAUUAGUAAUUUCAAUAUGGACAAGGUGACAAUGGUUGCUGAUCCAAGUACAUCUUCGAGUUCCGGCAGCCACUUGCCUGAUUCCGGACAUGAUUCUCAAGGCACACAGGGGAUUGUCGAUAAAUCCGAAGUCGGCUUCUGUCCCUCCUGAUCUAAAUGUUGGUUUCCAGACACCAGGGUCACCAGUCUCAGGUUUCCUAUUAGAUUCGCAGAACCCAAAUUUAUCAUUGCAACUAUGAAGUUGUAAUUCCCAUUUUCAAUUUGGUAGAGAUCACAAGCGGCUUUUGGCCUCUUGGUAUUAGAAAUAGCGCCCCCCAAAUGAUGCAGGUUUUCCCUAACAAUUACUACUGUAACCAGCAUUCUGUUGUAAAAGUGAUAGGGCUGUUGUACAGAUUAAUUAUUAUUGAAAUUAAUUCUCACAUGAGGCUUUGCUUAUUUAUGACA